CAAAGAUACCUUGCUGGAGAUAUUGUGUACCUGAGGCCUUCCAAGGAAAUUCCAGAUGCUCAAUGGAAAGGAGUGCUGGGCUGGAUGUGAGAAAAUGCAUUGGCUGUGCCUCUGAGGUCAGCUUCAGGUGAUAUGAGAGAGUAAGCACGUGACAAUACUGUCAUGCUGAAAGGAUUAAUCAAGCCAGUCUUUCAUCUCAGAUGUUGUUAAAACAGAUGGAAGUGAUUCUUUCAGGAAAAGCUGGAAAUUUCAGAAGACUAACUGGAGGUGAAUGACAGGUGUCUAGAAGACUUUAAGGUCACGACAACGCUCUGUCAAUUGACGUACAGCUGAGUUCACACUGUGUGUACGCACGGGUUGUGUAUGCUUGGAUUACGCGUGCACAAAUGUGGCAUAAAGGCACACACCGUAGCCCAAGCAUGUCCAGCCCGCAGGCCGCCCGCGGCCCAACGCAGUGCCCUGCCCAGCGCCAUGAAGGCGGCGGCUGUGCCCCACUGGGCCACCCCUUGCUCAGCACCAACCGAGCGUGGGUGUGAGGUUGGCGCUGUCUGGGCUGAAACCAGGGCACGGGGAGGGCGCAGUGCGGCGCUGACUCAAGGUAUGGCAAAUAGCUGCGUGCAGUUUGAUACGGCGUUGUGAACAGUGAAAAAUACGCAGCUGUGCUUUCCCUUUGGG